UUUUUUAUUCAUUAGGUUUUAUGUGCAUAUAUGGUCUGUAAUUUAAAUGUGUUUUUAAAAACUAUCUACGUAUGUAUAUUUUUUGUGUUGGUAUUUAAAAAUUGAUUAAUGUUCCAUAAAUUAAUAAAUUAACAAAAUAUAUAAAAAGAUCAAAUAAUAAAGGAAACAACUAUAAAAUGGACUAUCAAAAAUAUAUGAGUGUGAGAUAAAAUUUAGGCUAACCUGGUUGAAGAUCCAUUCAACCUAUUGUGGUCGACACCUUCUAGAUAGUCUUGUUAUGAAGUGUUUGAUGUGGAAAAUGAGGCCUUCAAGUACUUGAUAACAAAACAAAAAAUAUCAAGGUGUGAAACUAAAAAAAUUCUUUUGAAAAAUUAACUCAUGAACCACAACAAAAGAAUACAGCACCGAGGUACAUUGGAGGUGCCUAUGACUGAAUUAAAAAAUUAACCUUAAAGGUAAGGAUAUAGAAUUAAAUAAAAAGAAAAUUAAAUUUAAUUAUAAAUACUCUUUGAAGAAGGACACAACAGAUUCAGCAUCAGAUAGGUCUGUAAUGCUUGAGAAAUAAUAUACUGAUGAUAAUGUGUAAUCAUGCAGCUUAAUAGUUAUUACCAGGUUUAUUACUUUGAAGUAACGUAUGUAUAGAGCAUUUAGCAGCAAAGGUUAUUAUAACUGAUGAGUUAAAAAAGGAAUUCAAACUAUCGAAUCCUUUAUCUUCUAUUUUUAAGCACAUUUAGGCUGAAAAAUCUUAAUUUUUGUAUCCUAUAAUAUUGCUGAAAGUUUUAAAUAAUAUUUUCAAAUUAAGUCAUAAAAAAAUUAAGAUAAUUAAAAAUCAAAAUUAAAGGAACACAUGUGCUUCUAGUUGUUGAUUUAAAUUUAUGAAAAAUAAAAAAUUAUUUAAUUCAAAUGGUUCCAUUAAAUGAAUAGGUCAAUUUUAGAUUAGCAUUUUUCUUCCCAAAUCUCAACAGUUUGCGUGCUCACCAGACCCCCCAAUAUUAGCGUAAGUCUGAAAUCAUUUCCUAAAGAAAAUGUCAAUCUCAUCUCUCAUUCAAACUGUUUGUUAAUCUAAGCCCCAACCUUCUCAACGCAGAACCACUCUGCAGCUCCUACCAUCAAACCAACCAUAAACCUCCAUCCAUCCUCUGCAAUAAUCUUGCUCAUUAAUAUCUCUCUACUGGUAGCGCUUUGUUAAUCCCCCUUUCUCACCAUCUAACUAUUAUACUGUUUCUCUGGGUUAAUUUUCUCGAAUACAGUUGGGUUUUGCAGCGGUCAAAUGCGAAAUUCUGCGAAAAUUACUUCAACUGCUUAUUACACUUGCUGAACUUGAGUUAGUGGAUCUUAUUAUAUCUUAUUUGUGUUGAAUACUUUAUGUUUAUACUUGUUUGUGUCUUUGUAGUGGUGAAUUGGAGAGCCAUGAGGAGUAGCAACUGAAUCUGGUUAUUCAUCUUGUUGGUGGUAUCAAGGGAGCCAGUCUUUUCGUAAAUUUACCAUCCAAUCAAUCCUUUCCUCUGAUCCUUGCAUCUUAUGCUAGAUUUGCUAAUGCCACAAUUCAAAAUGCUCAACUUUGUAUGCCUGGAACACUUGAUCCAGCAAAAGCAAGGGGCAAAAUAGUCAUGUGCCUUCGAGGUGGGAAAAUAAGAUCGGUUGCUGAGGGCCAAGAAGCUUUAUCUGUAGGUGCAGUUGGAGUGGUCAUGGAAAAUGACGCUUAAAGUGGAAACACAGUUCUAGCUGAGCCUCAUGUUUUGUCCACUACAAAUGUGCCCAAAAAUAAUCAGAACAAAAAUGUUCAUGAUUAUUACAACAGUACCACAUAAGAGCCCUACUAUUAACAUGUCUGCAGCAAGAACAUUGCUUGGAACAAAGCCAGCUCCAGUUAUAGCCGCAUUCUCAUCUAGAGGUCCAAAUCCAAUUCAACCAUCAAUACUCAAGCAGGGGUGAACAUACUAGCUUCAUAUUCCUUAGCAGCAAGUGCAUCUAACUUGCCAUCAGAAACACGCCGUGGGUUCUGGUUCAAUGUGCUACAAGAAACUUCCAUGUCAUGCCCUCAUAUCUCUGGUGUUGCUGGUAGGAUGAAUCAUUUGUCAUGUCCUAUAGUUAGUAGGUGUGUGCCCACACUUCAGACAUGAUCACAAUAUGCAAAGUUCAAGAUUACAAUAAUUUUAUUUUUAUAAAUAAGAUAAAAAAUAAAAUAAAAUUGUACAGAUUCAUGUCAACCCAACAAACAAGAAUAGAUACUAACUAAACUUCUAAUUACAUAGACUUCACUUAUCAAAUUGCCCAAACUAAGUUACCAAGUAUAUAUGUUAGGAAUUAAAGAAGUGUAUGUAUACAUAUAAUUAGCACUCAAUUGUAUGGAGAUGGGAUUGUGUCAUUUAAGUUUUACAUCUUUCCUUUCUUUAGGAAUAUAAGAAAAAGAAUGCUUACCAAGUAAUCAGCAUACUGGGACAGUGUAUGAACCCAUUGAACAUAUAUUGCUGCAGCAUCUUCACUUGUCUUGUUCUUUCAAGAUUGACACAAAGAAUACCAGGACCAACUUUUCCACCA